CAAUAGCGUAUAUUAAUGUUGUUGCAGUUAAAAAGCUCGUAGUUGGAUUUCGAAUGGGAGCGGUGGGUCGGGUCCGCAAGGGCUCGUUACCUGUUUCGUCUCCGGUUCUUUUUCGGGAUGUUUCUGGCGUGGCUGGCAUUGAGUUGUCGGUGGCGUCGGGCCCGUCGUUUACUGUGAACAAAUUAGAGUGUUCAAAGCAAGGUGUGUCUUGAAUACAUUAGCAUGGAAUAAUGAGAUAGGACUUUGGUGGUUUCGGUGAAAGCCGGAUAUUUUGUUGGUUUGCACGCCAAAGUAAUGAUUANUAGGAGCAGUUGGGGGUAUUCGUAUUCAAUUGUCAGAGGUGAAAUUCUUGGAUUUCUAGAAGACGAACUACUGCGAANGNAUUUACNAGGGAUGUUUNCAUUA
rnacentral:rRNA from 1 species